GUGAUGCAAUGUGUCAGCACAAAAAGGCCAUGAGCUUGGCUAUUGCUAGCCACAGACCAGCUGACUGAGAGAGAGAGAGAGAAAGGGGAGAGAGGGGUGGAGAGACGACAGCCCACCUGGGAGUUGCAGAAAACAUGGUUUGAGUUCUUAUCAGGGCCUGCAGCUAUGUGGCAAGAAAGAUGGGGUGCUUGUGCUGUUGCAAAAGCCAAGAGGAGGAGGAGCCUGCAACCCGACACCCAGUAACAACCCCAGCUUUUACCGUAAGAGGAGGCAGAUGACAGGGUUCCCAACAGCCUCCACGUCCCUGAUGUACGGCCCCAAGUCGGGGCCCUGGAACAUGAGGGCCCCGCUCUUCCUUUUAGGGUUCCUCUCUGGACUGGGACCCUCCAAGGCACCCGCUCGAGAAAUGAUUAAGCUACUAAAUCUGCAAGAGAAACCUCCUCUCGCCUCAUCACAGGGCAUCAUGAAGACAGGUUCACAAACUCCCCCUUGAAAGGAGAUGAAAAUGUCUGAAUUCCCCCGCUUGUGAAACACAGAGGGAGAGCUUGAAAUCUGGAAUGGCUGGAUAGGAGCAAACAGCAUCCGUCCAUUAAAAAAUAAUAUAUCUAUA